CAGUAGCCGCGGUAAUACGUAGGUGGCAAGCGUUGUCCGGAAUUAUUGGGCGUAAAAGGCUCGCAGGCGGUUUCUUAAGUCUGAUGUGAAAGCCCCCGGCUCAACCGGGGAGGGUCAUUGGAAACUGGGAAACUUGAGUGCAGAAGAGGAGAGUGGAAUUCCACGUGUAGCGGUGAAAUGCGUAGAGAUGUGGAGGAACACCAGUGGCGAAGGCGACUCUCUGGUCUGUAACUGACGCUGAGGAGCGAAAGCGUGGGGAGCGAACAGGAUUAGAUACCCGCGUAGUCCCUGUCUCUUAUAC
rnacentral:rRNA from 1 species